AGCAACUGAAUGUCUUUGCGUCCAUGUUUGGAGGGGCGCUACAGUAUAUUCAAAAAUCAAAAAGAUGGGGUUUCAUGAAACCCGAACCACCCCCCGCCACACACACAUUUUUCCUUUUACAUGUAUUACAAUUCUAUAGUUUAAAAAUGGUGUACUUCUAAAAUGUAAAUAAACUUAACAAAUGGCAUGUAGAAUAACUAAAUUGCCCUGGCUUUUUAAGCAAGUUCUCAGAAAUUUCUGUUUUAUACUGUAACCAUGACGAGAUCAGUUUAAAUAAAAAUGUCUAGAAAUGAAAUUAUGUUGUUUUAUUCAUGUUUUUCUUGGUUUUUAUACAUUUUCUUUCUUUUCUACUUUCUUUUUUUUAGGUUCAGCAUGUUCAGGAGGGAGGAGGGCGGUGGACCGCAAAGGAGAAGGCGGGAGCGAGCCAACCGCAUUAGACAACUAACAUUCAAAGUGUCUGUCUUUAGGACCCACUCCAUUAACAUUACAGGUCACAUCGUGGUAAUUAUCACUUUUGUUUCUAUUUUUUUAUACUGAAUUUAUUCUAAAAUAGAUGAUUAUUACAUAUUUUAAUAAUAAAAUAUGUAUUAAAAAAAAAACCUAAUACAAAUUAGUUUAAAGAAAAACAAGUCCCACUCUGUUUAUGCUAUGAUCUAUUUUCAUAGAUCUUUAUUAUUACGAUGUUUUUAGCCAAUAUAAAAUUAUUUUUUUUUAGAGGACAAAGUGUCAGCAGCGGACCAGGAAUACAUUAGAAGGCAGCCACUCUGUUGUCUGUGGGUCUGUUUGAGCAAGCAGACCUACAGACUAUUUUGAUUUUAUUGAUAAACAAUUCAUUUCAUUUCCAUUCGCUGUCAGAUGUCACACCUGCCUGCAGAUUGGUGGUCAAUGAGGACCUGGACAGCCAAGCAUUUGUUGAGGCUCUUCGCCACAACUUGCCUAAUCUGCCAGAGAACUUCCAGCUCUGCAGAGUUAAUGGCCAGCGGCAGGUUGUGGCGCUGCAGGAGACAUGCCCCAGACGAAUAAGGCAGACCAAUGAACUUGGACGUUCAAACUUAUAUAUCCUUCCAAAGGUAUGCCACAUUUGAUUUUUUUAAAAGUCAAUGAGUUCUCCAUGUUCUUAAGGUUUGUGAAUUGUUGUAUAAUAGUUGUAUAAUAUAGCCAGUUAUUGCUGUUAUUUUAAGUUGUAUAUUAUCAGCAAAAUAUUAACGCAUGUUACAAAUAAAUGCCAGCUAUUACUUGUAUUCUUACCAAUCCAUACACACGUUUUAUAACCUCUGACUUUCACCUACUUUUUUUUUUUUUUUUUUAAUAAUUAACAUGCAUUUGUAAUGCCAACACAGAUAUCUGCUGCCAGUGAAGAAGGCAUUCAACUGACAGGGUAAGGUUGAUGUAAAAAAAAUAAAAUCAAUGUACAUUGGAGGUUCCUGUGCAACCUUUAAAAUAUAUACAUUAUGACAAAGAAUAUGAACAUUUCUUGCCAUGUGUUUGCUCUGUAGAAUUCCUGAAGCAACAGAUCACGGAAGAGGGUCAGAGGAGGAAAACACAGAACCGGAAAUUAUGUAUUUACUUUUUCUUUUGACUACACAUUUUUUCACCCUUCAGCAUCCAUGAUUUUUUUUUUUUUAUUUUGGUCUUCUUUAGACUGCCUACUUCUCCGGGACAGCAAAAUCAAGAUAAUGCAGACAGACAGCCCCAGGAGUCUAUCAACAACUUUGAUAUCGACUCAGAAUCUUCUCACCCUGAAGAUGUGGAUAUGGAUGCGGAGUCUGAAGAUUCUAACCAUGAGGAUGAAAAAGAGGAUGGUGAUCUGAUUCUGGAUUUCCAGAACCAAAACAUAAACACAGGCAUCACCUUCCCAAUGGUUGCCAGACGGAGGCACAUUUUAAAAAGUGCUUGUGUGGCUCUUAAAAAGUCCUAUUUUGAUUGGAAAAAGGCGCCAUUGGUUACAUUUGUAGGGGAGAUGGCUGACGCUUAUGGUGGUCCAAGAAGAGAAUUUUUAUGAUUGCUCAUGAUUGAGAUAACAACAUCUCUCGGCAUUUUUGAGGGCCAGCAGGGAAACCUGCUUUUCCAUUACAUUCUGCAGUCCCUGGAGCAGCAGAAGUACUACACUGCUGGGAAGCUCAUGGCUUGGUCCAUUAUUCAUAAUGGACCAGGGCGCAGGUGCCUUCAGAGGGAGCUCUUCCACUUGAUGUGUGGAGAAAGACCAGACCUCACCCACGUUGAUGUGGACUUGUUGCAUGAUCCAGAACUAAGUGCCAACAUGGAGAAGCUUAAUUCAUGCAGAACACCAGAAGCGUUGGCAACAAUGAAAGAAGGAAUCGGUGACUGGAUAGCUGCCUGUGGUGUGCCAGAGGUUUUCAGCGCCACAUUGGAUGACCUGCCACGCCUCAAACAGCAAAUCGUGGCCCAUUUCCUUUUUCAUCGUGUUGCCAGUGUGAUUCAGCAAUUCGUGGCUGGUGCUGAUUCAUGUGGACAAUUUUGGCAAGUGGUGAAAAGAUUCUUCCAGUGUUCACAAACACUGGAGGAAAGCUAUCAAAUAACUGCAUCCAGAAUCUUUUCACCACUGUCUGGAGUGAUCCUGGGAGCAACAGGAGGGACAUGGAGGAGGACACCAUCGUCCAGUGGGAAUGGUGGUUGAUUGGGAUCCAGGGUGAGUAUUAGCCGAAAAAGAAGGAUGUCAAUAUUACAUUUCCAGGGUUCCCGCAGGGUCUUAAAAAGUCUUAAAAGCCUUGAAUUUGAAAAUGUGGGAAUAAGGCAUCAAAAAGCAUUACAUUUAAAUAUUUUGGCCUUACAAAUGUUGCAGUUUAAAACUUUUUCGUUGUGACUUUUCUGGUCUAAAAUUGAAAAUUCUUAACCACGAUUGUGCAAGUAAAGUGCGUUUAUCAAUUUAACGUUGGAUGCCGGCCGCUGAUUAAAAAAAAAGAAAAGACAAAGAAGAAGAAGAGGGAGGGAGCACCGAUAGAGUUCUGCAUACAGAAAAUGUAGCGAUUGUUACAACCAGGACUGAAACUGGUACGGUCAGGCAUUGUGUACAUUCAGGGCUCUAAAUUAACACCUGCCAAAUGCGAGUAAAACUGAUUUGACGGGUAGAAAAAAAGUCACUAGCCACUUUGCUGGUGAAGCAUCGUUCAUCCUGAAUUACAGGAACUCAAGUUCACAACCUUGAUUUUUAAGUGUCUGGCUUCCCUCCUCAUUUGGCUACCACAAACAUCCAUCCCAGAGUUAGUUCUAAAUGAUUAAUUCUACACUACAAAAAGUCUGCUUUGAAAAACAAGAAAAAAAAGUAAAAAAAUAAGGUAAAUAUUGCUUAAAAUGAGAAAAAUUAUCUGCCAACAGAACAAGAAAAUCUGACUUGCCAAGACUACUCAAAAACAAGCAAAAAUAUCUAACAUCAUAUGGCCCACAAAUAUCUUCAAAUUAGUAUAUUUUUCUAAUUUCAAGGUCAUUUUACUAGUUUAAAUAGAAUAUAUAAGAUUAAUUUUCUCAAAGUGUUUAAAAUUGUUCUUUAAUUAAGAUUUCGCUAGUAAGGUUAUCUAGGCAUUAUACUAACCACUAGGAUCAGUUUCUUGAAACCAGCCAAAUAUACUAAAAACAAUGGUAUUUUUUUCUUAAUACUAAGGGAACAAUUAAAAAUGUAUUUUUGAAAUUUACUUGAAACUUACUUGAAAUUCUUGUAAUAGGAAAAAAACACCUGCAUUGAUCUUGGCCGUACAUGUGUCAAAUAAAUGAAAAUAUGAAUCUUGCUCCUUUUGACUGCUUUUAUUGGAUUUGAGAUGCACAUGAAUGGGAAAAAAAGCAUGACUAUUGUUUAUCUAGCUUGAAAGAUAGAGAUGUGGAUGACUGCAAACAGUGCAGUAGAUCACAUAACAAUAAGUAUCUCACUGGAAUGGAAUCUCACUGGGAUAGGAUACAGCGAAACUUACAACAGACAUUUUCAUCAAUGUACUAUGAAAACAAGAAAAAAAGAAAAAA